GAUAAACGCUGGCGGCGUGCCUAAUACAUGCAAGUCGAGCGAACGGACGAGAAGCUUGCUUCUCUGAUGUUAGCGGCGGACGGGUGAGUAACACGUGGAUAACCUACCUAUAAGACUGGGAUAACUUCGGGAAACCGGAGCUAAUACCGGAUAAUAUUUUGAACCGCAUGGUUCAAAAGUGAAAGACGGUCUUGCUGUCACUUAUAGAUGGAUCCGCGCUGCAUUAGCUAGUUGGUAAGGUAACGGCUUACCAAGGCAACGAUGCAUAGCCGACCUGAGAGGGUGAUCGGCCACACUGGAACUGAGACACGGUCCAGACUCCUACGGGAGGCAGCAGUAGGGAAUCUUCCGCAAUGGGCGAAAGCCUGACGGAGCAACGCCGCGUGAGUGAUGAAGGUCUUCGGAUCGUAAAACUCUGUUAUUAGGGAAGAACAUAUGUGUAAGUAACUGUGCACAUCUUGACGGUACCUAAUCAGAAAGCCACGGCUAACUACGUGCCAGCAGCCGCGGUAAUACGUAGGUGGCAAGCGUUAUCCGGAAUUAUUGGGCGUAAAGCGCGCGUAGGCGGUUUUUUAAGUCUGAUGUGAAAGCCCACGGCUCAACCGUGGAGGGUCAUUGGAAACUGGAAAACUUGAGUGCAGAAGAGGAAAGUGGAAUUCCAUGUGUAGCGGUGAAAUGCGCAGAGAUAUGGAGGAACACCAGUGGCGAAGGCGACUUUCUGGUCUGUAACUGACGCUGAUGUGCGAAAGCGUGGGGAUCAAACAGGAUUAGAUACCCUGGUAGUCCACGCCGUAAACGAUGAGUGCUAAGUGUUAGGGGGUUUCCCGCCCCUUAGUGCUGCAGCUAACGCAUUAAGCACUCCGCCUGGGGAGUACGACCGCAAGGUUGAAACUCAAAGGAAUUGACGGGGACCCGCACAAGCGGUGGAGCAUGUGGUUUAAUUCGAAGCAACGCGAAGAACCUUACCAAAUCUUGACAUCCUUUGACAACUCUAGAGAUAGAGCCUUCCCCUUCGGGGGACAAAGUGACAGGUGGUGCAUGGUUGUCGUCAGCUCGUGUCGUGAGAUGUUGGGUUAAGUCCCGCAACGAGCGCAACCCUUAAGCUUAGUUGCCAUCAUUAAGUUGGGCACUCUAAGUUGACUGCCGGUGACAAACCGGAGGAAGGUGGGGAUGACGUCAAAUCAUCAUGCCCCUUAUGAUUUGGGCUACACACGUGCUACAAUGGACAAUACAAAGGGCAGCGAAACCGCGAGGUCAAGCAAAUCCCAUAAAGUUGUUCUCAGUUCGGAUUGUAGUCUGCAACUCGACUACAUGAAGCUGGAAUCGCUAGUAAUCGUAGAUCAGCAUGCUACGGUGAAUACGUUCCCGGGUCU
rnacentral:rRNA from 1 species